CUUUAACGGCCACGGUACCCUAACCGUGCAAAGGUAGCAUAAUCACUUGUUCUUUAAAUAAGGACUCGUAUCAACGGCAUCACGAGGGUUCUACUGUCUCCUUUUUUUAAUCAGUGAAACUAAUCUCCCCGUGAAGAAGCGGGGAUAUUCUUAUAAGACGAGAAGACCCCAUGGAGCUUUAAACCCAACUAUAUACCUAACUAUUAUAACCACUUAAUCCCUUAGCAUUAAUAUAUUUGGUUUUAGGUUGGGGCGACCACGGAGUAUAACUAAACCUCCACAAUGAACGAAACAACCCUUCUUAUCUGAGAAUUACACCUCUAAGAAUUAGUACACUAACAUAAAAUGACCCAUUAUUGAUCAACGAACCAAGUUACCCUGGGGAUAACAGCGCAAUCCA
rnacentral:rRNA from 1 species